AUUGAACGCUGGCGGCAGGCCUAACACAUGCAAGUCGAGCGGAUGAGUGGAGCUUGCUCCAUGAUUCAGCGGCGGACGGGUGAGUAAUGCCUAGGAAUCUGCCUGGUAGUGGGGGACAACGUUUCGAAAGGAACGCUAAUACCGCAUACGUCCUACGGGAGAAAGCAGGGGACCUUCGGGCCUUGCGCUCUCAGCUUAGCCUGGGUCGGAUUAGCUAGUAGGUGAGGUAAAGGCUCACCUAGGCGACGAUCCGUAACUGGUUUGAGAGGAUGAUCAGUGAAACUGGAACUGAGACACGGUCCAGACUCCUACGGGAGGCAGCAGUGGGGAAUAUUGGACAAUGGGCGAAAGCCUGAUCCAGCCAUGCCGCGUGUGUGAAGAAGGUCUCCGGAUUGUAAAGCACUUUAAGUUGGGAGGAAGGGCAGUAAGCUAAUACCUUGCUGUUUUGACGUUACCAACAGAAUAAGCACCGGCUAACUUCGUGCCAGCAGCCGCGGUAA
rnacentral:rRNA from 1 species